rnacentral:rRNA from 1 species
UACGUAGGGGGCGAGCGUUGUCCGGAGUUACUGGGCGUAAAGCGCACGCAGGCGGUCGUGUCAGUUUGGGGUUACAGCUCCCGGCUCAACCGGGAGAGCGCCUCGAAGACGGCAGGACUUGAGGGCCAGAGAGGGACACAGAAUUCCGGGUGGAGUGGUGAAAUGCGUAGAUAUCCGGAGGAAUACCAAAGGCGAAGGCAGUGUCCUGGCUGGCAGCUGACGCUGAGGUGCGAAAGCGUGGGGAGCGAACAG